AGUGAACGCUGGCGGCAGGCCUAACACAUGCAAGUCGAGCGAGCGGCGGACGGGUGAGGAAUGUCUGGGAAACUGCCUGAUGGAGGGGGAUAACUACUGGAAACGGUAGCUAAUACCGCAUACCAUCAGAUGUGCCCAUAUGGGCUUAGCUAGUAGGUGGGGUAACGGCGCAACUAGGCGACGCUCCCUAGCUGGUCUGAGAGGAUGACCAGCCACACUGUGACUGAGACACGGUCCAGACUCCUACGUGAGGUAGCAGUGGGGAAUCUUGCACAAUGUGCGAAAGCCUGAUCCAGCCAUGCCGCGUGUGUGAAGAAGGCCUUCGGGUUGUAAAGCACUGUCAGCGGGGAGGCGUUACCCGAAGAGGAAGCACCGGCUAACUCCGUGCCAGCAGCCGCGGUAAUUC
rnacentral:rRNA from 1 species